AUGGCUCAGGAUGAACGCUGGCGGCGUGCUUAACACAUGCAAGUCGAACGAAGCAACUAUCACGAUCCCUUCGGGGUGACGAUUGUUGACUGAGUGGCGGACGGGUGAGUAACGCGUGGGUAACCUACCUUGUACAGGGGGACAACAGUUGGAAACGACUGCUAAUACCGCAUAAGCGCACAGCUUCGCAUGAAGCAGUGUGAAAAGUUUUUCGGUACAAGAUGGACCCGCGUCUGAUUAGCUAGUUGGUGAGGUAACGGCCCACCAAGGCGACGAUCAGUAGCCGACCUGAGAGGGUGACCGGCCACAUUGGGACUGAGACACGGCCCAAACUCCUACGGGAGGCAGCAGUGGGGAAUAUUGCACAAUGGGCGAAAGCCUGAUGCAGCGAACCGCCGCGUGAGCGAAGAAGUAUUUCGGUAUGUAAAGCUCUAUCAGCAGGGAAGAUAAUGACGGUACCUGACUAAGAAGCACCGGCUAAAUACGUGCCAGCAGCCGC
rnacentral:rRNA from 1 species